AUUCGGUGAGGAUUCCGGAUUUUGUUGCUUACGCUUCACGGCGUUUUUGACGAAAGAAGUUAUCCAAACCUCAUGAUUUAGAGGAAGGUGAAGUCGUAACAAGGUUUCCGUAGGUGAACCUGCGGAAGGAUCA
rnacentral:rRNA from 1 species